GAAAUCAGGUGAUCUGAAUUCCAGUCACAGCACAACGAGCUGUCUGAGCUUCAGUGAGCUGCUGAACUUGCCAAUUCUCCCUUUUCUUAUCCAGUUUAUGUUGAGAGAUCCUCACAGGGCUGAAAUAGUGUGUAUGAACAUACUUUGAAUCAUGUAAGAUUUCACAUAAGUAGCAGGUAGCCUCAAGAACGUUUCCCCUGCUGCUGCCUUAGAUGUAUGAGAACUUUGUGGAGGAGGUGGAUGCCGUGGACAAUGGGAUCUCCCAGUGGGCAGAGGGGGAGCCUCGAUAUGCACUGACCACUACCCUGAGUGCACGAGUUGCUCGACUUAAUCCUACCUGGAACCACCCCGACCAAGACACUGAGGCAGGGUUCAAGCGUGCAAUGGAUCUGGUUCAAGAGGAGUUUCUGCAGAGAUUAGAUUUCUACCAACACAGCUGGCUGCCAGCCCGGGCCUUGGUGGAAGAGGCCCUUGCCCAGCGAUUCCAGGUGGACCCAAGUGGGGAGAUUGUGGAACUGGCAAAAGGUGGAUGUCCCUGGAAGGAGCAUCUCUACCACCUGGAAUCUGGGCUGUCCCCUCCAGUGGCCAUCUUCUUUGUUAUCUACACUGACCAGGCUGGACAGUGGCGAGUACAGUGUGUGCCCAAGGAGCCCCACUCAUUCCAAAGCCGGCUGCCCCUGCCUGAGCCAUGGCGGGGUCUUCGGGACGAGGCCCUGGACCAGGUCAGUGGGAUCCCUGGCUGCAUCUUCGUCCAUGCAAGCGGCUUCAUUGGCGGUCACCGCACCCGAGAGGGUGCCUUGAGCAUGGCCCAUG
rnacentral:sRNA from 1 species